GUGUGUGCGUGUGUGUGUGUGUGUGUGUGUGUGCGCCGGAUAUGAAGGUAUCUUGGGUCAAUGUCCAAUCUCUCUCUCUCUCUCUCUCUCUCUCUCUCUCUCUCUCUCUCUCUCUCUCUUUCAUCUUCCUUUACCCACACUUUCCCCUUCACGCUCACGGCCUUGGCAGCGUAAAUACAAGUAACCUUCAUAAAUAAACACAAUUGAGUGCUUUUAUAAAUACCUCAAGUUUCUAUUACCGAGUUAGCGCCGUGAAUAACCUACCUCCCACUCUGUCAUUGACCCACUAAUGCAAGACCCCGCGACACCUCGUUAUUAUAUAUGUCAGGUUAAAAAUGAAAGGUGAAUCACGUAAGAAAAUGAUAACCUGGAUUCUUUGUUAAGGUUCCAGUAAUGUUUGAGUGUUUGGUCUCUGUUGGGGUUGGUAAAGGUUCCAGUAAUGUUUGAGGGUUCGAUCCUUGUUGGGGUUGGUAAAGGUUCCAGUAAUGUUUGAGUGUUCGAUCCUUGUUGGGGUUGGUAAAGGUUCCAGUAAUGUUUGAGGGUUCGAUCUUUGUUGGGGUUGGUAAAGGUUCCAGUAAUGUUUGAGUGUUCGAUCUUUGUUGGGGUUGGUAAAGGUUCCAGUAAUGUUUGAGGGUUCGAUCUUUGUUGGGGUUGGUAAAGGUUCCAGUAAUGUUUGAGUGUUCGAUCUUUGUUGGGGUUGGUAAAGGUUCCAGUAAUGUUUGAGGGUUCGAUCUUUGUUGGGGUUGGUAAAGGUUCCAGUAAUGUUUGGGGUUCGAUCUUUGUUGGGGUUGGUAAAGGUUCCAGUAAUGUUUGAAUAUUCGAUUUUUGUUUAGUUUGGUAAAGGCUCCAGUAAGUUAAUUAAGUAAGUUAGUGUUUUUGGUUUACAAAGAGAAAGAUCGCCGAUUGAUAUAAGCAUAACCCGGUUUAAUAAAGGUCGUGUUUUGAGUUUGUUGUUCUUUGUGGUUAGUGAAAGCAAAGAUUAUGUCUGUGUAUACGUAAGGAUUAUUCAAUUUUAAAGGACGUAGAAAAAUAUUGAAGGAUGUGACUUAAGAUUCAUGUUUUUCCUGACGUAUAAAAUGACUCGGUGAAAGGCCUUAGCAAAAUGUUAUAGGUUAUGAUAUAAGUUGGUCGUUAUUCGUGGUUUAGAGAAUGCCAAGGUAAUAUAUUUCUACCCAAGGAGUAUUGAAUUUUACAAGAAUUACCAAAAUAGAAUGAUCAAUACGUGUACCGCGAAGGUCCCAUUAGAAAAUUAAUUAUAGAUACCGAAUAUAAUUUGUUUCUUGAGGUAUGGAAGUGUUUAGUGAGAUUUAAAUUGUUGACACGAAUUCAUGAUAGAUAUACACACGAAGAUAUAUACUUAGUCAAAAAACUAGAAUUUGUGUUAGAAAAUUCAUUAAGGAUACCGAAUUUAAUGAGCUUCUCGAGGUAUGAAAAUGUCUAGUGAGAUUUAAAUUGUUGACACGAGUUCAUGAUAGAUAUACACACGAAGAUAUAUAUUUAACGUCAAAAAACUAGAAUGUUGUGUUAGAAAAUUCAUUAAGGAUACCGAAUUUAAUGAGCUUCUCGAGGUAUGAAAAUGUCUAGUGAAGUUUAAAUCAUUGGCACGAGUUCAUGAUGGAUUUACACACGAAGAUGUAUACUUAACAUCGAAAAAUUAGAAUGUUGUGUUAGAAAAUUCAUUAAGGAUACCGAAUUUCAUGAGCUUCUCGAGGUAUGAAAAUGUCUAGUGAAGUUUAAAUCAUUGACACGAGUUCAUGAUGGAUCUACACACGGAGAUAUAUAGCUACUUAACAUCGCUUGGGUGAACAAAUAACACGAAAAAGUAGAAUGUUGUGUUUGGAAAUGUCAAGAAUGAGAAGCCUAACAGUUAGUACGUGGCUUAAACCUCGACUUGAGUAUAUUUAUUUAUUUAUUUUUUGUCUUAGGUAAUUGUUGAGGUUUGUAUAGGCCUGGAAGCGUGAUUUUCGUUAUUUCUUUUUUUUCUUUUUCUUUCAUAUAAUUUUCUUUCUUAUUGUUAUUGUUGUUAUUUAUCCUUAUUCCUCCUUUUCUUGUGCCUCCUCCUCCUCCUCCUCCUCUAGGCAUAUCCGUUUCCCUUUUAUUGAAUUAUGUUAAAGAAAAAAUAAAAGAUAAAUCGAAAACUAGCUCAUAGGUAAACACACACACACACACACACACACAGACGCACUUUCCACGGCCGUCCUUGAUCACGUGACACCGAUGUAAUGAUGAUGAUGAUGAUGAUGAAUUUUUUUUUUUUAAUGUGAGUCGAUGUUCUAUUUUUAUUUUCCUUGUUUUCUUUUUUGUUGUUGUUGUUUAUUUUAUCUUAUUUAUUUUAUUUAUUUUUCUUGUUGUUGUUGUUGUUGUUGUUGUUGUUGUCCUUCUUCUCCUUCUUCUUCUUUUUCUUCUUCUUCUUCUCUCCACUCCUCUUUCCUCCCUUCCCCCCUUCCCUCACCUUCCUUUUUUUUCUCUCCGUCUUUCCUCUUUCCUCCUCCUCCUCCUCCUCACCCCUCUUUCCUCCCUUCCCCUCCCUUUCCUUACCCUCCAUUUUAUCUCCCUCCUCCCCUCUUUCCUCCUCCUCCUCCUUCCUCAUCUUGUUUUCUCUCUCAUUAUAACCAAGCAAGCAACAAACAAACAAACGAACAAACCAAACAAGAGACAGAUUAAACAAAACUCACAAAGAAGGAAAACAAAUGAAAACAAGAAAACAAACAAAGAAAACAACAAAAACAACGCAUAGUAAACAAACUCCCGGACCACUGUAACACUUUUGGGGGGUCCUCCUCCUCUCCUCCUCCUCCUCCUCCUCCUCCUCCUCCUCUUCCUCACACCUGUUUGCUCGUCCUUGGUAGACAAAAAAAAAAAAAAACGUAACCGCGCAGAUUAUUACACAAGAAUGAUGACGAUGAUGAUGAUGAUGAUAAUGAUGAUGAUGAUGUUGGUGAUUAAGUAGACUAAGAGGUGAAUAUAUAAACAGAAGGCAAGAAGGAAUAGAGAAUGAAAAAAUAAUAAAUGAUAGAGAAGAAUAUUAAUAAGAGAGAACAGGAGGAGGAGGAGGAGGAGAAGAGGAGAAGGAGGAAUGUGGAGGAAGUGGAGGGAGGAGGAGAGGUAUAGAGAAAGAGAGGAGGAGGAGGAGGAGAUAAUAAUAAUAAUAAUAAUAAUAAUAAUACUGCUUUGAAACUCCAUUGGUAAUAUUAGGUAACGUUAGUUG